rnacentral:misc_RNA from 1 species
UACGGACCGGACGAACGUUAUUCGGAAUCACUGGGCUUAAAGAGUACGUAGGCGGCCCAGCAAGUUGGGUGUGAAAGCCCUCGGCUCAACCGAGGAACUGCGCCCAAAACUGCUGGACUCGAGGAAGGUAGGGGUGAGCGGAACUGAUGGUGGAGCGGUGAAAUGCGUUGAUAUCAUCAGGAACACCAGUGGCGAAGGCGGCUCACUGGACCUUCUCUGACGCUGAGGUACGAAAGCUAGGGUAGCGAACGGG